rnacentral:tRNA from 1 species
GGUGGGAUCGCAUAGUGGACUAGUGCGUUCGCUUGGAAAGCGGAUGUAGUCGCAAGGCUACCGUGGGUUCGAAUCCCACUCCCACCG